UCUUAGGCGUGAAAGGGUCAUUCCACCCCCAAAGGGGUCGCGACCCACAGGUUGAGAACCGCUGCCCUAGAUAAUCUCUUCUCUUUCCACUUUCUAGAAUAAUUUACCAUGACAUCUAAUCCCUAUUCUUUGAGAAUCUUACUGCCAUCCCCCUCCCCAUCUGUUUCUUCUCCUACUAGGAAACGGAGCCCAAUUACCAAGCCCUGAUGCGCAUCCUUAUCUCUAGAAGUGAGACUGACCUUCUAAGCAUCCGAGCUGAGUUCAGAAGGAAAUUUGGGAAGUCCCUCUACUCUUCCCUCCAGGAUGCUGUGAAAGGGGACUGCCGACUAGCCCUACUAGCCCUGUGCAGGGCCGAAGACCUUUGAGACUCCCCUCCCCCUUCCACUCCCACAUGACAUUCAAGGAUCUGAGAGUCCCAUGUUUGGCUGAGCCUGCAGGAGACCAGCGGAGCCUCCAAAUAGGAUAACCCCUCACUGAGCAUUACAUGUUCCAGCUUCUUGUUGAGGGUGGAACUCGAAGUUUUC